UACGGAGGGUGCAAGCGUUAUCCGGAUUCACUGGGUUUAAAGGGAGCGUAGGUGGGAUGGUAAGUCAGUGGUGAAAUCUUCGAGCUUAACUCGGAAACUGCCGUUGAUACUAUCUAUCUUGAAUACCGUGGAGGUGAGCGGAAUAUGUCAUGUAGCGGUGAAAUGCUUAGAUAUGACAUAGAACACCAAUUGCGAAGGCAGCUGGCUACACAUAUAUUGACACUGAGGCACGAAAGCGUGGGGAUCAAACAGG
rnacentral:rRNA from 1 species